rnacentral:rRNA from 1 species
GAUCCUGGCUCAGAUUGAACGCUGGCGGCAGGCCUAACACAUGCAAGUCGAACGGUAACAGGGAACAGCUUGCUGUUUCGCUGACGAGUGGCGGACGGGUGAGUAAUGUCUGGGAAACUGCCUGAUGGAGGGGGAUAACUACUGGAGACGGUAGCUAAUACCGCAUAACGUCGCAAGACCAAAGAGGGGGACCUUCGGGCCUCUUGCCAUCAGAUGUGCCCAGAUGGGAUUAGCUAGUAGGG